rnacentral:rRNA from 1 species
UNUGACUUGAGUGCAGAAGGGGAGAGUGGAAUUCCAUGUGUAGCGGUGAAAUGCGUAGAUAUAUGGAGGANCACCAGUGGCGAAAGCGGCUCUCUGGUCUGUCACUGACACUGAGGCUCGAAAGCGUGGGUAGCGAACAGGAUUAGAUACCCUGGUAGUNCACGCCGUAAACGAUGAGUGCUAGGUGUUAGGCCCUUUCCGGGGCUUAGUGCCGGAGCUAACGCAAUAAGCACUCCGCCUGGGGAGUACGACCGCAAGGUUGAAACUCAAAGGAAUUGACGGGGGCCCGCACAAGCGGUGGAGCAUGUGGUUUAAUUCGAAGCAACGCGAAGAACCUUACCAGGUCUUGACAUCCCGAUGCUAUUCUUAGAGAUAGGAAGUUACUUCGGUACAUCGGAGACAGGUGGUGCAUGGUUGUCGUCAGCUCGUGUCGUGAGAUGUUGGGUUAAGUCCCGCAACGAGCGCAACCCUUAUUGUUAGUUGCCAUCAUUAAGUUGGGCACUCUAGCGAGACUGCCGGUAAUAAACCGGAGGAAGGUGGGGAUGACGUCAAAUCAUCAUGCCCCUUAUGACCUGGGCUACACACGUGCUACAAUGGUCGGUACAACGAGUUGCGAGCCGGUGACGGCAAGCUAAUCUCUGAAAGCCGAUCUCAGUUCGGAUUGGAGGCUGCAACUCGCCUCCAUGAAGUCGGAAUCGCUAGUAAUCGCGGAUCAGCACGCCGCGGUGAAUACGUUCCCGGGCCUUGUACACACCGCCCGUCACACCACGAGAGUUUGUAACACCCGAAGUCGGUGAGGUAACCUUUUAGGGGCCAGCCGCC